GGUUUCUCUGUAUAGCCCUGGCUGUCCUGGAACUCACUCUGUAGACCAGGCUGGCCUUGAACUCAGAAAUCUGCCUGCCUCUGCCUCCCAAGUGCUGGGACUAAAGGCGUGUGCCACCACACCCA
rnacentral:miRNA from 1 species